UACGUAGGGUGCGAGCGUUAAUCGGAAUUACUGGGCGUAAAGCGUGCGUAGGCGGCGCGUUAAGACAGGUGUGAAAGCCCCGAGCUUAACUUGGGAAUUGCGCUUGUGACUGGCGUGCUGGAGUGUGGCAGAGGGAGGUGGAAUUCCACGUGUAGCAGUGAAAUGCGUAGAGAUCGGGAAGAACAUCAGUGGCGAAGGCGGCCUGCUGGGCUGUUGCUGACGCUGAGGCGCGAAAGCGUGGGUAGCGAACAGG
rnacentral:rRNA from 1 species